rnacentral:rRNA from 1 species
AUACGUAGGGGGCGAGCGUUGUCCGGAAUGAUUGGGCGUAAAGGGCGCGUAGGCGGCUUUGCAAGUCAGUAGUGGAAGUCCAUUUUUCAAGGAUGGAAGUGCUACAGAAACUGCGGAGCUUGAGUGCAGGAGAGGUUAUCGGAAUUCCCGGUGUAGCGGUGAAAUGCGUAGAGAUCGGGAGGAACACCAGUGGCGAAGGCGGGUAACUGGACUGCAACUGACGCUGAGGCGCGAAAGUGUGGGGAGCAAACAGGAUUAGAUACCCUGGUAGUCCACACUGUAAACGAGGAAUGCUAGGUGUAGGAGGUAUCGACCCCUUCUGUGCCGCAGUAAACACAGUAAGCAUUCCGCCUGGGGAGUACGGUCGCAAGAUUAAAACUCAAAGGAAUUGACGGGG